rnacentral:rRNA from 1 species
GAAGUGGGGAUGACGUCAAGUCCUCAUUGGCCCUUAUGGGUAGGGCUUCACACGUCAUACAAUGGUCGGUACAGAGGGUUGCCAAGCCGCGAGGCGGAGCCAAUCCCACAAAGCCGAUCGUAGUCCGGAUUGUUCUCUGCAACUCAAGAGCAUGAAGUCGGAAUCGCUAGUAAUCGCAGGUCAGCAUACUGCGGUGAAUACGUUCCCGGGUCUU